UACGUAGGGCGCAAGCGUUGUCCGGAAUUAUUGGGCGUAAAGAGCUCGUAGGCGGUCUGUUACGUCUGCUGUGAAAACCCGGGGCUUAACCCUGGGCUUGCAGUGGAUACGGGCAGACUAGAGGCAGGUAGGGGAGAAUGGAAUUCCUGGUGUAGCGGUGAAAUGCGCAGAUAUCAGGAAGAACACCCGUGGCGAAAGCGGCUCUCUGGAACGGUACUGACGCUGAGACGCGAAAGCGUGGGGAGCGAACAGG
rnacentral:rRNA from 1 species